UUUUCAAUAUUAAAUUUUCACUUUGAAAAUUUUUCUUUUCUUUUGAUAAUAGCGUUUUAUCAAACAAAUUUCAAAACUUCCAUAGUUACAAUUUCUUUUUUAUUUGAAAAGUCACCAAAAAACAAGCUUUAUCCAAAGAAGAGCAUCAGACACAUUUUAAUAACCAAAAUGUGUUUCUAAAUCCCUUGCAACAAAUUUUAUACACAUAACGUUUAAAUGGAAAUUGGAAAUUGGAGUCUCAUCAUCUAUUCAGGAAACAAACAAAACUAAACGCUGGAUAUGAAUACACAAAUGUAAUAAAUGAUGUAUUCGUGGACGAUUUUAUCAUGUAGAUGGUUGCUUUAAGGGCACAAUGUUGAUAACUAGCACCCCAGGGAAAACAAAGAACAUUUUGCCGAGAGAAAGAGGAGCUUGACAGUGCUAUGAUGGGUGUCUGUGCUGUAUACAAGGAGAAAGCCAAGCAGGCUAGGCAAGCCCAUGCAAAGAAGAAGAAGAAGAAGGAUUCGUUUUGGUUUGCGGGAAUCUCCAGUGCAUGACAGCGAAACGACAAUGGUUACGGAGAUGAAGCCAAACAGAAGGAAGGAAGGAAGACUACAUCAAGGACAAGAACUAUGAGAUAAUAUAAAGUUACAUUAAGCGGUACUACUGCAUUCAUGAAUAAUAUUGGACCCCAGAAACGUUUCAGUUAUAUAAAUCUACUAUAAAACGCAAAAUGAAGUCUUUUUUUUUUUAUUCGUGCGAACCAAAGGUAUCAGAGGGGAAUGAAGUACCAAUUUUAUUUUUUAUUGUGAGUUGAGGGUUAAAAUGGGUUGAAUGGGAUGAUAAAGCCAAAAACAAAACAAAAAAAAAAAAAAAUAAAAAAAAGGACGAGGACGAGUUUAAUUUUAUUUUAAUUAAAGUUUUCCAUUUUUGUUUUAUUCCUGGACCUGGUGCGACAAGGCGAAAUUGGUACAAUUGUGAUAAAACUAAGUUUAACUAAUUGACUUAUCCUCUGCCGAAAUGGAGGCAAUUAGUUUUAUUUGAAAUCAGGCGCGUUAUAGCAUUUUUGUCGCAUUUUGUUGAUUUAGAAAAGCCUUUCUGUUCCUGCCUGCCACCCAUCAGAAAAGAGAAGAGGAAAAAGUUGAAUGAGUGUACAAAUUCAAAUUCUGUUUCUAUUUUUUUUUUUCAUUUUUUUUUUUUUUUUUUAUAUCCAUGGGCGCCCGAACGAUGCCAAAUUGUUUUCAUGAAUAAAAUAAUGAGAGAAUGAUUGUCAUUAGCCAUAGAACUAAGUGAUGCUUUGUCAGCUUGGAGAGAAUGCAAAAAUAAAAUCAAUUCAGCAAAAACAACAGGAUACCGGUUGAAGUUUUUUUUUUAAUUUUUUUUUUCUUAACUAUAAACGCCAUGGGACAAAAAUGAUGCAUGUGCGAUGAAUGCAGAAAAGUGUAUGCAUGCAUGCAUAUGAUGACCUUGGUGAGGGUAGUUUUUUUUUUAGUUUUUUUUUUCAGCAGAAGGCGCACCAGAGCUCACCAGCAUUUUCAAGGUUGUGCUUAAAAGUACGCAUACUCUAUUAAAAAAAAAAAAAUAUUCUGCCAUCAAUUAAUAA